GACGAACGCUGGCGGCGUGCCUAAUACAUGCAAGUAGAACGCAGUUGCGAACGGGUGAGUAACGCGUAGGUAACUGCCUCAUAGCGGGGGAUAACUAUUGGAAACGAUAGCUAAUACCGCAUACUGUGAGAUGGACCUGCGUUGUAUUAGCUAGUUGGUGAGGUAAAGGCUCACCAAGGCGGAGAUACAUAGCCGACCUUAGAGGGUGAACGGCCACACUUGGACUGAGACACGGCCCAGACUCCUUCGGGAGGCAGCAGUAGGGAAUCGUCGGAAAUGGACGGAAGUCUGACCGAGCAACGCCGCGUUAGUGAAGAAGGUUGGCGGAUCGUAAAGCGAUGUUGUUAGAGAAGCGGUACCUAACCAGAAAGGGACGGCUAACUACGUGCCAGCAGCCGCGGUAAUAC
rnacentral:rRNA from 1 species